rnacentral:rRNA from 1 species
UACGUAGGGUGCAAGCGUUGUCCGGAAUUAUUGGGCGUAAAGAGCUCGUAGGCGGUUUGUCGCGUCGAAUGUGAAAACCCGGGGCUCAACCCCGGGCCUGCAUUCGAUACGGGCAGACUAGAGUUCGGUAGGGGAGUCUGGAAUUCCUGGUGUAGCGGUGAAAUGCGUAGAGAUCGGGAGGAACACCAGUGGCGAAGGCGGCCCUCUGGGCCGGGCCUGACGCUGAGACGCGAGGGCGUGGGGAGCGAACGGG